GGGGAAUAUUGGACAAUGGGCGAAAGCCUGAUCCAGCCAUGCCGCGUGUGUGAAGAAGGUCUUCGGAUUGUAAAGCACUUUAAGUUGGGAGGAAGAGCAGUUACCUAAUACGUGAUUGUUUUGACGUUACCGACAGAAUAAGCACCGGCUAACUCUGUGCCAGCAGCCGCGGUAAUACAGAGGGUGCAAGCGUUAAUCGGAAUUACUGGGCGUAAAGCGCGCGUAGGUGGUUAGUUAAGUUGGAUGUGAAAUCCCCGGGCUCAACCUGGGAACUGCAUUCAAAACUGACUGACUAGAGUAUGGUAGAGGGUGGUGGAAUUUCCUGUGUAGCGGUGAGAUGCGUAGAUAUAGGAAGGAACACCAGUGGCGAAGGCGACUUUCUGGACGACAACUGACGCUGAGGCGCGAAAGCGUGGGGAGCAAAC
rnacentral:rRNA from 1 species